AGAGUUUGAUCCUGGCUCAGAAUCAACGCUGGCGGCGUGCCUAACACAUGCAAGUCGAGCGAGAACGGGGACUUCGGUUCCUUAGUACAGCGGCGCACGGGUGAGUAAUACGUGGGUAAUCUGCCCCGGAGCGGGGAAUAACAUCGGGAAACCGAUGCUAAUACCGCAUACGAUCACAGAAUCUUCGGAAUUUGUGAUGAAAGGCUUCGGCCACUCUGGGAGGAGCCCACGCCCGAUUAGCUAGUUGGUGAGGUAAGAGCUCACCAAGGCUGCGAUCGGUAGCCGGUCUGAGAGGACGGUCGGCCACACUGGAACUGAGACACGGUCCAGACUCCUACGGGAGGCAGCAGUGGGGAAUAUUGCACAAUGGGGGAAACCCUGAUGCAGCCAUGCCGCGUGUAUGAAGAAGGCCUUCGGGUUGUAAAGUACUUUCAGUUGUGAGGAAGGCAGUAAAGUUAAUAGCUUCAGCGUUUGACGUUAGCAACAGAAGAAGCACCGGCUAACUCCGUGCCAGCAGCCGCGGUAAUACGGAGGGUGCGAGCGUUAAUCGGAAUUACUGGGCGUAAAGCGCAUGCAGGUGGUUUGUUAAGCAAGAUGUGAAAGCCCAGGGCUCAACCUUGGAACUGCAUUUUGAACUGUCAGACUAGAGUACUGUAGAGGGUGGUGGAAUUUCCAGUGUAGCGGUGAAAUGCGUAGAGAUUGGAAGGAACAUCAGUGGCGAAGGCGGCCACCUGGACAGAUACUGACGCUGAGGUACGAAAGCGUGGGGAGCGAACAGGAUUAGAUACCCUGGUAGUCCACGCCGUAAACGAUGUCUACUAGCCGUUGGGAGACUUGAUUUCUUAGUGGCGCAGCUAACGCACUAAGUAGACCGCCUGGGGAGUACGGCCGCAAGGUUAAAACUCAAAUGAAUUGACGGGGGCCCGCACAAGCGGUGGAGCAUGUGGUUUAAUUCGAUGCAACGCGAAGAACCUUACCAUCCCUUGACAUCCAGA
rnacentral:rRNA from 1 species